rnacentral:lncRNA from 1 species
GGGGCCCUUGUGCUUCAUACCUGAACAUCCAAGAUCAAUUCCCUCCUUGCUUGGACCCUUUGUAAGUGUCCUUUCGUGCUUAGUUUAAUUUUUAAUGGAGCCCAGUAAAAGCUAUCUGUACUUGCUUGGUGGUAUACGGCUGGGAUAAAUUGUAUAAAUUUGCUCAGGUACUAAUCGGAAUAGGCUGGCUACUCCUAGCAUCAAUAAAGAGUCUCGCAAGCUUAGAUGCCUAAAGUCUGUU